CACAAAAAUAUAAGAGGUAGAGAGAGAAAGUGAAUCCAGAGGAUAUAAGAGGAGUUAGAGAAAGAGAGCUUGGGGUUUGAAGAGCUAAGAGUUAAAUGGAAGCCAAAGUUAGGAUUCUUCAAGACUAGAGGUUAGGGGGGUGGUUUCCUUUUCAUAAUUAAGCUAUAAUCUCCUAUUUUCAAUUAUGCGAAUAAAUGCUUAUUUGUGAAUUGUGACUUUUGUGAAUUUUAAUGUCAAUUUUUGUGCUCCUUAUUUAAUGAUAAAUUUGGGUAUGUUAAUUUGAUGUUAAGUUUGUUGUUGUUGUUGAUUUUCCAUGGUUGAAGUAUGCUAAUAUGAACCUUUGUGAGUUUUGCUUAAUUUGGUGAAAAAUGAUGUUGUUGUUGAUUGUUAAUGAAAUCAUGUUUAUAUGAUGAGAUUGUUGUUGGUGUUGAUUCAUGCCUUGGGUAUCACUAAUUGUGUUGUUGUGAUUUAAGUUGUUGUUUGGGGAAAAACUUGGGUGUUGAUUGAAAAAUCCUUUUAAGUGUUUUUGAAAAAUAUGUGAUUAUGAGAGGUUUUGAGUGAGUUGUUUUGGGAUGGGAGAAACUUGAUUUUUCUGAUAGAAUGUGAUAGUUCUAAGUGUAAGGAGCGCGUAGGCGAAAGCGGAAUUAGAAUCAGAUUACCAGUUUGAAUUUUACGCGCGAAAUGAGAAAAUUUAAAAACCUGUAUUGUCUGAAACUCGCCCAACGAGUGAGAUAUAUGCCACGGUGAGUUGGUGCAGAACAAAACAUGUUGUUUUGUACUUUUAGAGCGUUUGUGGUCGUUCCAGACAUCCGUAAAUGAUUCUUUUGAUGUAUUUAAUUGUUGUAAAGCUUUCUAAACAUUUGGAAACAUCAAAUAAAUUAGAUUGAACAUGGUUUUGGGAAUCGAACCAAACUUUUUGAACAAUGUUCAAGAAUGCAUGAUUUUUCAAAACUUGUCUUUCUUAAUGGAAAAGGGUAAGGUUCGGGUUGUUUAAUGUAACCUUGAUUUAUAAAAAAAUGUUUUGGGUGGUAUUCAUGAGCUUUAACAUGAUUUUACUUUGAAAAUUGGAAUUAUUUUGAAAAGUGAUAAAGUGGGACGAACUUUGUGAAAUUAUGGAAUCAAUUGGAAUUGGCCUAUGAUGCCUAUAUGCAUAAGCUACUAUGAUCAUGUGUGAGUAGUGUAUAUGCUUGGUUGAGAUGUUUGAUUAUGUUUACCUUGUUUUGUUGAAAUACUUAGAAAACGUAGAAAGUGGUGAAAAUAGACGAACGUUGUUAAAAUGUGGUUUCAUUACCGGAUAACAAAUGAUUUUACCUUCAUAUUAAUAUGAUAGUAUAAGAAUGAAUAAAUGAAGAUUGGGUGUUAAAAUGAUGAAUAUCAUAAUGUGGUAGUUGUCUGUGUUUUAUGUAAAAUGUGAUUGUUAAUAUGUGUUGUUUCCUUGAGGUGUUGGUUGUUGAUGAUUCUUCUUUGGUGAUUUUAACUUGAUGAUUUGGUGAUGACUCUUGUUGAAUUAUGACUCGUGAAUUAUGAAGCGAAUGUGUUUCUUUUUUAUAAUGACUAUUUGAUGAAUGUUUGGUGAUAAAUAUGAUUAUGUUGAUGAUGAUUAUAAUGAUGGUUAAUGAUGAUUAUGAUGAUGAUUUAUUUUUUGUUGUGAAGUCUUACAUGCAAAAUGACGAUGUUAUUGAUGAUGAAUGCAUGUAUAAAAAAUGAAGACGAAAAUGAUGACGAAUUGUAUGUUGAACGUAUGCAUUGUUGAGUCAUAUGUUCAUGCAUUCAUAAGUAGGAUAUUUAUAUCUAAUGAAGACGACUAGGAUAUUUAAAUCCAACGAAGACGACCGAAUACUUUGUAAUCAAAAUGACAACCGGCACCACAUGCAUAUAGAGUCGUGUAUAGAGCGCAUUGCAUACAUUCGAGUCUAUGAAAAUAUGUGCUUUGGUGAAUUAUAUGAAUCAUUUGAAUAUGUGCUUGGUGAACCUUGGUGAUUUAUGUGCAUUGGUGAACUUGGUGAAAUUUGGUAAACAUGUGAAGAUGUGUACUUGAGGAUGUUUGUUAUUCUUGGUGAUACUUGUACACGUGAUUUUAAUUGAUGAUGUUUAUUUUGGUGAAAAUAAUGAAGUAUGAAUUAUAUGUAUGUGAUUUAGUGAUUCUUUGGUGACAACGAUUUCCUUGCUUAUACUUUUGAAAAGAUGAAUCAUAUUUGUUGACUUGAUUAGGCAAGAGUUUAUGUGACAUAUAUGAUUGGUGUGAAUUAGAUGAUUUGUAUGUAUUAGGAUAAUAUGAACUUUAUGUAAAAUGAAUAGGGUGGCAUGUUAGGAUGAUAAUUCCUAAAUGAUGAGAUUGGUGUAGUUUGAUUAUUAGGCUAAACAGGGAAUGAGGUGAGAAAUUCUUACGUGGAUUGGUGUUGUUAGGUGAUAAACUUGUGAUGAUAAUGUCAAUUAAGAAUUAAUAUAUGUUGAUAUGAUAUGAUAAAGGAGAGAUAAUAUCCAUGUGGAAUUAGUAUUCUAUGAAUGUUGAGUAUGUAUAUGUGCUAUGCAUGAAUCUUUGAAUGUUUAUGUUUGAUUAUACUUUAAUUAUAGAAUGUGGCUAACCCAGUGGUCGUUCGGUUGACCGCCUGCCUUAUUCUUAUGAAUAGUAGACGACGUGCAUGAGUAGUUUUCUUUGCUUGGUGAGUUGUUGAGAUUUUAUACUUGGGGUAAGUUAGCUUAAGGGUGUCAGUUUGUCAUUUAUACUUUAUGACUUGUUGAGAUUUUUAUCACUCAGUAUGUUGAGUUAAGAUUUUAUAUUUGGAGAUUUAUUAUGGAGUUGUAUUUUGAUUAUGUGACAUGGUUACGUGAAGAUGUUUUAUUUAGCUGCUGAUGUGAUGAUGUUAUUAUUCCGCUGCAAUGUUUUGAUGAAAUUAUUUUUGUAUGAUGAACUUAUAGAAUAAAUAACAUCUAAAUCCUUGACAUGAUUUGUAUUAUUUGUGUGAUUUAUCGCUUUAAGGAUUUAUGAUGUUACAUCAACCUCAUUUGUGUGGUUGCUAUUAGUAUAAAAUGAUGUUACAAAUCAAUGUAGACUUCCAUGGAAGUCACAACAUUAUGAUGAUUCAUUGUUUAUUUUGUUAGUUUUUGGGUGUCAUUUGAUGAUUCACUCACCGACGCAUAACACCCACGCGCCGCCCUCUGAACUAUUCAUUCUAAAUUAUUCAAGUGUUUUUAAUCUAUAUACAUAAAAACUCUUUGUUUAUUUAGAAGAAGAAAAAACUCUGCGUUUUUUGGUUUUUUCUUGGUGAUAAAAAACUCUUUGUUUAAAUGGUUGUUGUUCAUGUUGUCUGUAUGAAUUUAUGAUGAAAAAUUUAACUUGUUUAACUUAUCAUUAGACUAAUAUAUUGUUGUUGGUUGAUUGUUUAACUUUUUAUUUGACAAAUAAAAUUUAUUUAGUCCAAAAGAGAAAUCAAUGCAUUUAUUAUAACAUAAUUUAUGGUAUUAAAUUUUAUAGUAUAAUUGUACCCAAAAAAAUUAUAACGUAAUUUUCUUAUUGUUGUAUUUAACAUUUUGAUUUAUAAAGACUUAAAGAAUGAUAUGUUAAAUUGAAGUAGACUUCACCAUUCAUAAUAAUCUCUCAAAUCCUUCAACAUACAAAAAGAAGCAUUGUUUGAAAGCUAUAACGUUGAUUGACUUUCUUUGAGAUAUUGUAUCCGAUUAUCAACAUUAUUAUACUCGAAGACAACAACUUCUUUAAUGGGAUAAGUUCUCAAUGCAUGAUUGAGCUUUCUUAUUUUUUACGGUAAGGUCGACCAUUUUGCUUUACCACCCUUCUUCUGUUAAAUCAUUUUCAUUAGGAUAAAAUUCACUUUGUCUGAAAGUAUAAUAUGCUCUGAAGAAAUGACAUUGAAACAAAAAGAUAUGCAAAAAAUAAAGAAAGCAAAAAUAUUAAUUUAAGCAAAACAGAUCUUCAAUUGCACUAAAUCAAUAAUGUUGUAAAACAUCAUUGUUAUAAUACUAUCUAUCUAUCUAUAUAUACAUGUAUUCUAACCUACAUUUUGCUUAUGUGUCACCUCACCAAUGCCUCCCUUUCUAAUUAUUUCUUUACAUGUAUUCUCUCUCAUUCUAAGCUACACUUUGCUUAUGUGUCACUUCACAAAUGCCCCCUUUCAUGUACAAUAAUUUUAAUUCUUUACUCACUCAUUCUAUGCUAGGUUCUCCAUUAUUUUUCUUCUAAUCACAUUUUGCAUCCACUUUUCCUAUUACUAAGUAACCGUUACCCACUCUUCCAUUUUCUCUUAAUUAAUUAGUAACAGCCAUCACACGAAAAAUGUUAAUGUUCUUCAACGUUUUUUUUUAUGUCCCUUCACUAUUUCUUCUUCCGUUUGUUUCCAUUUUUUUGUUAUAUAUUUUACAUUAGUUUCAUCCAUCUUCAUCUAUAUAUUUGUUCUUCUAACAGGUUUUAGCUUUAUAAAAUGGGUAUUGUUUCUUCAAAACCGGAUUUGCAUAUGUUUUGGAGAUAGAAGAGGGUAUUGCUGAAAGGUCACCUCUUAUAUGAACACACAAUUGUCUUUAUAAUAUGAUAAUAAUCGCUCAUUUUCUCUUCUUUUGCAAUUUGAUGAGUUUUUAUAUUAGUCACACAUUUUUUAUCUUACAAGUCAUUCCACUAAAAUUAUAUCUAUAAUCUCUCAAUCUCAUCACUUACUCUUGAACUAGGUGAAAAAUAUUGUUUGUAUGCUUUCUUCUUUUGGUA
rnacentral:lncRNA from 1 species